rnacentral:rRNA from 1 species
GAGUAGGGCGGGACACGUGGUAUCCUGUCUGAAUAUGGGGGGACCAUCCUCCAAGGCUAAAUACUCCUGACUGACCGAUAGUGAACCAGUACCGUGAGGGAAAGGCGAAAAGAACCCCGGCGAGGGGAGUGAAAAAGAACCUGAAACCGUGUACGUACAAGCAGUGGGAGCACCCUUCGGGGUGUGACUGCGUACCUUUUGUAUAAUGGGUCAGCGACUUAUAUUCUGUAGCAAGGUUAACCGAAUAGGGGAGCCGGAGGGAAACCGAGUCUUAAUUGGGCGUUAAGUUGCAGGGUAUAGACCCGAAACCCGGUGAUCUAGCCAUGGGCAGGUUGAAGGUUGGGUAACACUAACUGGAGGACCGAACCGACUAAUGUUGAAAAAUUAGCGGAUGACCUGUGGCUGGGGGUGAAAGGCCAAUCAAACCGGGAGAUAGCUGGUUCUCCCCGAAAGCUAUUUAGGUAGCGCCUCGUGAAUUCAUCUCCGGGGGUAGAGCACUGUUUCGGCUAGGGGGCCAUCCCGGCUUACCAACCCGAUGCAAACUGCGAAUACCGGAGAAUGUUAUCACGGGAGACACACGGCGGGUGCUAACGUCCGUCGUGAAGAGGGAAACAACCCAGACCGCCAGCUAAGGUCCCAAAGUCAUGGUUAAGUGGGAAACGAUGUGGGAAGGCCCAGACAGCCAGGAUGUUGGCUUAGAAGCAGCCAUCAUUUAAAGAAAGCGUAAUAGCUCACUGGUCGAGUCGGCCUGCGCGGAAGAUGUAACGGGGCUAAACCAUGCACCGAAGCUGCGGCAGCGACACUGUGUGUUGUUGGGUAGGGGAGCGUUCUGUAAGCCUGUGAAGGUGUGUCGUGAGGCAUGCUGGAGGUAUCAGAAGUGCGAAUGCUGACAUAAGUAACGAUAAAGCGGGUGAAAAGCCCGCUCGCCGGAAGACCAAGGGUUCCUGUCCAACGUUAAUCGGGGCAGGGUGAGUCGACCCCUAAGGCGAGGCCGAAAGGCGUAGUCGAUGGGAAACGGGUUAAUAUUCCCGUACUUGGUGUUACUGCGAAGGGGGGACGGAGAAGGCUAUGUUGGCCGGGCGACGGUUGUCCCGGUUUAAGCGUGUAGGUGUGUGUUCCAGGUAAAUCCGGUUCACUUUAACACUGAGGCGUGACGACGAGGCACUACGGUGCUGAAGCAACAAAUGCCCUGCUUCCAGGAAAAGCCUCUAAGCAUCAGGUAACAUCAAAUCGUACCCCAAACCGACACAGGUGGUCAGGUAGAGAAUACCAAGGCGCUUGAGAGAACUCGGGUGAAGGAACUAGGCAAAAUGGUGCCGUAACUUCGGGAGAAGGCACGCUGACACGUAGGUGAAGUGAUUUACUCAUGGAGCUGAAGUCAGUCGAAGAUACCAGCUGGCUGCAACUGUUUAUUAAAAACACAGCACUGUGCAAACACGAAAGUGGACGUAUACGGUGUGACGCCUGCCCGGUGCCGGAAGGUUAAUUGAUGGGGUCAGCGCAAGCGAAGCUCCUGAUCGAAGCCCCGGUAAACGGCGGCCGUAACUAUAACGGUCCUAAGGUAGCGAAAUUCCUUGUCGGGUAAGUUCCGACCUGCACGAAUGGCGUAAUGAUGGCCAGGCUGUCUCCACCCGAGACUCAGUGAAAUUGAACUCGCUGUGAAGAUGCAGUGUACCCGCGGCAAGACGGAAAGACCCCGUGAACCUUUACUAUAGCUUGACACUGAACAUUGAGCCUUGAUGUGUAG